AUCAACAAUCAUCCACCAAUUCAAGAUCAAGCCCCGACGGCCCUUGAAGAAAGUGUUCUUCGUUCAUUGUUCUUCCAAGAUCAAGCCCCAACGGCCCUUUGGAUCAACAAUCAUCCACCAAUUCAAGAUCAAGCCCCGACGGCCCUUGAAGAAAGUGUUCUUCGUUCUUCGUUCAUCGUUCUUCCAAGAUCAAGCCCCGACGGCCCCUUGGAUCAACCAUUCACCAAUUCAAGAUCAAGCACCGACGGCCCUUGAAGAAAGCACCAUCGUUCAUCAUCCGUUCAUCCAAGAUCAAGCCCCAACGGCCCUUUGGAUCAACAACGUCGACAAAUCCAUAAAUCCAACCGUUCUUCAAGAUCAAGCCCAAAACUCCUUGAAGAUCCGUUCAUCACUAUUCUUCAAGAUCAAGCCCAAAAGCCCUUGGAGAUCCGUUCAUCACUGUUCUUCAAAGAUCAAGCCCAAAAGCCCCUUUGAAGAUCCGCUCAAAUCCACCUUCAAGAUCAAGUCCACGGCCCUUGAAGAACGUUCAUCCUUAGAUCAAGCCCAACGGCCCUUUGGAUCAAUCACACAUCGACAAAUACACACCUUACGGAGAUCGAAUCAGAGGAUCAAAAUAGAGAGAGAUUGUAACCCAAAAUCAUCAAAUAGAAAUAUUUGUUUGUGCACGUUGUUCUUGUCUCUUUCGUUUCAGGAAUUUUCCGUGUUCACACUAUCUACUUAACAUACCAUCCUAACUAAACUAACAAAUAUAUGAAUUUAUAUUAUACCUAUAAACGAGAUAUGAAACUUAAUUAAAAGGUACAGAAAAUAAUAUAUCUACAAGAAAGACACCGCACAUUAAUAUGCGAUACAACUUGAUUAUAAAAAAGAAUUUGUCGUAUACAUAAAUAAAUACAACUAAUCUGUGAGAUAAGUUGAUUAUAAAACUAAAAAAAUAAUAAUCUAUAAAUGGGGUCUAGAAGGACAUGAAAUAACAAAAAAGAAAAAGAAAUAAGUGAAAUAAUUAAAGAGAAAAUUAGGAAGAAAUAUAAUUUGUAUGGUGAAUAUUAUCAAUAAAGAGAUAAUUAUUGAUAAUCUUAAAUUUAAGGAAUUGGACUUAAUUUAAUAAGCUAGACUAUUCCUAAAUUGCCUGGAAAAAUUGGACUUUUAUCAAUCUUAUCCUAAAUCUUAACAACAAAGAUUCCAUGCCAUGCAUGCAUGAUGCAUCCCUAGUCUAAUUUCUCCAAGCUAUUGAUGAGUUCCUUUGGGUACCUGAUACGUGGGAUGCGACGGAAUGAAGUGGGACGGGACACACGCGUCCCACAAUUGGUACGCCAAUUUGCCUUGGACAUGCUGUCCUAUGGAACGGAUUUUAGUCAAUAUUUUGUGCCACCCUCCCCCUGGAACGACUUGUUCCAGCCCAUGGAACACAAAAUUAUAACUUUUUGGACAACAAUACCCCUCAUAUUUUUCAUUAAUUUCACUAUCUACCCUCUAUCUCCCGUAGCAUCCCUCUCUUCUACCCUCUCUCUCUCUCAUGUAGCCUCCUCCUCCACCACAAACCUAGCAACCCAGACUAACCCAAUCCUAGUA
rnacentral:lncRNA from 1 species